CUCUACCAUCCCCUACCCAACACCCCAAUUCAAAUGUACUUUGGCAGUGGGUAGUCUGUACACUGCUCCCCCUGCAACUCGUACUGCCACGGAUCCGCCGGUGUGUGCUGAACCUGGAACCAAAUGGUGUGCUACCAAAGUCAGGGUGGCUCCUGAAUCCCGGAGCCCUUGUACUUCUUUCCCCUCCAGAGUCACUAGCUGGCGAUGAUGUUGCCUGUUGUCGGUGGCUUGAACGGACAUCACC